AAGUAAAGCAGGAGUAGGUAGUGAGGAUUGGGGGAAGUUUGCAUUAUUAAAAUAGGAUAGUCAGAGAUGGUCUCACGGACAAGGUGACAAUGAGCAGAGCCUUGAAAUGAGUGAGGGAGUGAGCCAUUAGACUAUCUGGAAAGGAGAGUUUCAAUCAGAGAGAAGUUCAAGGAGAUUGGAACCACCUGGACCAUCUGGAUAUCCCACAGAAGACCACACUGACCCAUUAUUACACUGAUGAUAUCAUGCUGAUUGGGCAAGAGAAGCAAGAGGAAGGAAGGCCCACAGAAGUUGCUGUGUGAACAUGUGUGGAGAUGUGAAUCCAUAUAGCUCAAAGGGUGGACUGUGACACCUAUGAGGUAUGUUGCACAGAUAUUUUUAAGAGAGAAGCUACUGUAAGGAGUGUUGUUAGCUGACAGCCUCCAGCUGCUUUGGGAUCUACUGCUGCAUUCAGCCCAAGGUCAUUCUUCACUUAGGUUGUUCUCAAUCAAUAAGUAAGCAUGGCAGGGGUACUAGAGCCAAGCUUUAUCUUUCCCAUGUCUUGCAGUCUUUGCUCUGGGGCUCCACAUCAGCCUGGCUGACUCUUCCUUAGAACUGCAUUGCAG
rnacentral:lncRNA from 1 species